UACGUAGGGUGCGAGCGUUAAUCGGAAUUACUGGGCGUAAAGCGUGCGUAGGCGGUUUGUUAAGUCUGUCGUGAAAUCCCCGGGCUCAACCUGGGAAUGGCGAUGAAGACUGCAAGGCUAGAGUUUGGCAGAGGGGGGUAGAAUUCCACGUGUAGCAGUGAAAUGCGUAGAUAUGUGGAGGAACACCGAUGGCGAAGGCAGCCCCCUGGGUCAAAACUGACGCUCAUGCACGAAAGCGUGGGGAGCAAACAGG
rnacentral:rRNA from 1 species